UACGUAGGUGACCAGCGUUGUCCGGAUUUACUGGGCGUAAAGAGCGCGCAGGCGGUCGUUCAAGUCGAGUGUGAAAGCCCCCGGCUCAACUGGGGAGGGUCAUUCGAUACUGAUCGACUGGAAGGCAGGAGAGGGAAGCGGAAUUCCCGGUGUAGUGGUGAAAUGCGUAGAUAUCGGGAGGAACACCUAUGGCGAAGGCAGCUCGCUGGGACGUGACUGACGCUGAGACGCGAAAGCGUGGGGAGCGAACAGG
rnacentral:rRNA from 1 species